UACGUAGGGUGCAAGCGUUGUCCGGAAUUAUUGGGCGUAAAGAGCUCGUAGGCGGUCUGUCGCGUCGGCUGUGAAACCCGGAGGCUCAACCUCCGGCCUGCAGUCGAUACGGGCAGACUAGAGUUCGGUAGGGGUGACUGGAAUUCCUGGUGUAGCGGUGAAAUGCGCAGAUAUCAGGAGGAACACCGGUGGCGAAGGCGGGUCUCUGGGCCGAUACUGACGCUGAGGAGCGAAAGCGUGGGGAGCGAACAGG
rnacentral:rRNA from 1 species